ensembl:miRNA Gm23810 predicted gene, 23810
GUGUGUGUGUGUGUGUGUGUGUGUGUGUGUGUGUGUGUGUGUGUGUACACGCACACACAUACGUUUACACCUGC